UAGGGAAUCUUCGGCAAUGGACGGAAGUCUGACCGAGCAACGCCGCGUGAGUGAAGAAGGUUUUCGGAUCGUAAAGCUCUGUUAUAAGAGAAGAACGAGUGUGAGAGUGGAAAGUUCACACUGUGACGGUAUCUUACCAGAAAGGGACGGCUAACUACGUGCCAGCAGCCGCGGUAAUACGUAGGUCCCGAGCGUUGUCCGGAUUUAUUGGGCGUAAAGCGAGCGCAGGCGGUUAGAUAAGUCUGAAGUUAAAGGCUGUGGCUUAACCAUAGUAGGCUUUGGAAACUGUUUAACUUGAGUGCAAGAGGGGAGAGUGGAAUUCCAUGUGUAGCGGUGAAAUGCGUAGAUAUAUGGAGGAACACCGGUGGCGAAAGCGGCUCUCUGGCUUGUAACUGACGCUGAGGCUCGAAAGCGUGGGGAGCAAACAGGAUUAGAUACCCUGGUAGUCCACGCUGUAAACGAUGAGUGCUAGGUGUUAGACCCUUUCCGGGGUUUAGUGCCGUAGCUAACGCAUUAAGCACUCUGCCUGGGGAGUACGACCGCAAGGUUG
rnacentral:rRNA from 1 species